ACUUUGAUCAGUAAACAAACAAGAUGGGUGUCACACUUGUUGUGGUAUCAGGUUUGGUGUCUGUGGCAAGCUGUUACGUCUUUAUCAAAUUAAUACAACUUUAUAUAGCAAGAAGAAAGCUAACAGAGAUGAUUGAGCGGUUCCCUGGUGAGAAAGCAAACAUCCUUUUCGGAAACUUAUUGGAGUACCCAGGACCAAACGAAGCAGGACUGAAAUUCCAGAGAGACAUGACUGCCUUAUUUCCUCGAGUUUCCAGAGCAUGGCUCGGACCGUUUCUUCCAUUAAUAAUCGUCAAUCAUCCAGACACCGUGAAGGCCAUUAUGAAGACUUCAGAACCUAAGGGGAAACAGAUUUAUCGCCUGAUUGAGCCGUGGGUAGGAGAUGGGCUACUACUGUCGGGAGGGACCAAGUGGAGGAGAAACAGGAGACUCCUUACCCCAGCAUUCCACUUUGAUAUUCUGAGACCAUACCAGAAACUCAACAACCGUACAGCAGAUGUAUUUAUUGAUAAACUGAACAAGUUCCACCUGGAGGGUGAUGGCUACUUUGAUGUUUUUUCACCUGUCUCCCAGUACACACUAGAUGUUAUCCUGCAGUGUGCGUUCUCCUACAAGACGGACUGCCAGAGUGUUGGAGACAAACAUCCCUAUGUACGCUGUGUAACAGAAAUGCUGGAGUUAAUUACGGACCGAUUUUUUAAGCCAUGGCUCCAUAAUGACAUCAUCUACCUUCUGACGAGUGAUGGCCGGCGCUUUAAGAGACACUGCGACUACGUACACAAGGUGGCGGAGGAUAUUAUCAGGAAGAGGAGGGAAGCAAUGGUAGCUUGUAAUCCUCAGCAACAGAAGAAAUCAGAAGAAACUGGCGUGGAGAAAAAAACACUUGACUUCCUGGAUAUCCUACUCACUGCUCAGGACGAGGAGGGCGUGGGACUAACCGAUAUUGAGAUCAGGAAUGAAGUGGACACAUUUUUGUUUGAAGGUCAUGAUACCACGGCCAGUGCCAUUUCCUGGACACUGUAUUCUAUAGCGCAACACCCUGAGAUCCAGCAGCGUCUUCAACAGGAAAUUGACGAGGUCCUUCAGGGUCAGGAUUCUGACGACAUCUCCUGGGAUGAUUGUUCAAAUCUUCCAUAUUUGACAAUGUGUUUACGAGAAGCAAUGAGAAUACAUGUACCGGUCCCACUUCUGUUCAGGGAGACAACCGAGGACACAGAAAUGUGUGGUUGGUCCGUUCCGCUGGGAACUCUGAUCUCUAUAAGCUUAUACAGGCUGCACCAUAACCCUGAAAUUUGGGAAAACUCCCUGGGACGAUCUGUCCAAAUUCACGUAUCUGACAAUGUGUAUAAAGGAAGGCAUGAGACUUCACUCUCCGGUCCCACUGAUUGUAAGGGAGAUAACUGAGAAACUUGAAAUAGACGGAGAAAUUGUCCCGAUCGGUCAGAUGGUCCUUGUUGUAAUCUACAACACUCAUCACAACCCAGAAGUUUGGGAAAACUCUACGGAGUUUGAUCCCGAAAGAUUUUCACCUGAGAAUAUAGAGAAACGGGAUCCAUUUGCCUAUGUGCCAUUCUCUGCAGGCCCCAGGAAUUGCAUUGGACAGCAGUUUGCUAUGCACGAGAUGAAGACAAUCAUUGCAAGAAUACUUCGGAGAUUCGAUUUGGAGCUGGACCCGAAUCACAAAGUCGAAAAGAAAGAGGCACCAGUGAUGAAAUCGCAAACUGGCAUCCGAAUGAAGGCCACACCAAGACAGCGUGUAGUGUAACAUCCCAGUGUUCUUCGUACGCUGGUCAGAGGCUAUGCUGCUGCUGGACAUCUGUAAGUCGUCGUGGUCACUUUUCUUGGAACGGUCAACAAUUAUCAGCAUAUUAUGAAGACACAAUUAUGAUGGGGACCACAUGUCACGAAUUGCACCACAUGAUUUUGCCAAGUUCAUCAGUUCGCCAUAUAUCUGAACGAUUUGAGGACACACAAUUUGUUUAGUUAUCUAGAUAUUGUGAUGAAGUAUGUUUAUGUGGAGAAACGACAUGGAUUUGGAUAUUUGAAAGUUCGGAGAUGGUUCUUUCGGCGCUUUAACAUAUAGAAUAUAGAACAUAAGAAUACAGUGUUACAGUGUUUUAAAGCUGAAAUUCUUUAUUUUUAUCUAACAUAUAAGCCAGUAGAGAUGUCGGCGUUCUGAAGAUGCAUAGAAUACAUUACAAAAUGAUCAUUCAAAUAAGAAUCUGCUCGUUUACCCAUAAAAUGCCAAGUAAUAAGCAAAAUAUUUGUCAAAUAUUAUUUUGAUUACAUUUACUUUACCUCAUAUUGCCUAUAAUUCUAACAGCAUGAUGAAGCACACCACAGUAAGGACAGCCUGGCCAUGGGCGAGUUUUUUUGUUAAGCAAAUAACUCCUGUAUUAUGAUAUGUAGUACAUACAGGCUUCACAUUUAUUAAAACUAAAAUAAAUAAAUUGGUUACGGAUUUUAAAUUUCCGGAUUUUCCGAAACUGUGUUAACACAGGAAAUUCAGUUUUGCCUACAGCGAAAAAUGGAGGCUCAUAACCAAGGUAAGAUAGCGGGAAAACUUAUUGAACAACAUAUGUCAAAACAAGAUUAAUUCUGUGUUUGGGAUAGAGAUAUUUAAUGUCAAAUAGGUUUCAGAAAAUUAGAGUGGAGAAUUCUGUCAUUUUGGGGCUAAUAUCAUAAUGUUUUGCAAUUUUCAAACUAUUUUAAAAUGUUUACCAUAGUAUUCACAGCUCUAAAAAAACAUAGAAAAAAUAAGUUUACUUAUCCUUCAGAGCUGUAUUAAAAUUCCAAAUGUCGUAAAGCUUACAAAUAUAGAUACUUUAUUAGAGGUUAUAUGUAGUGUUAACUGGCAAAGUUUACACAUCUAAAACAGGUUCCUUAUUUUUCAGAAUUUGGCAUUUUUACUGUAAACUGCUACGUUAUUCAUUUAUACCCUGUUAUUAAAAUUAUUGAUUUUUUAUCAUGUACCUUGGCCUGAGUGACAAGGGUCAACGUUUUGUUAAUUGAAACUACACUGCUAUAUCUCCGAAAAUGGAGUCAUUGUGAUCAAUUAAAUUAUUAAUUGCAUUCAGAAGAAAUUCUAUCGUGCUCUGCCUUUCUAUAUCGUAUGUAACAUUUGCACUCAUAAUUAGAACUCUGUAAUUAAUCUUUUUCUUUUGAUAAUGGUAAUUACAUAUAUUUCUAUACCGUGGAUGCCGUUUUACGUAUUUGUGUGAAAAAAUACUGCCGGCGAUAUAGCAUCUUGAACCGAUAACUUAAUAAAGUUGCUGUGUAUAUUAAUUUAGAAAAAUACCAUAAUGAUUCAGUAAGAUUGAAAUCGAUUACUGUUAUGAUUGGCAGGUGAGAGGUAAUCUUAUAUCCAUAUUCGAAGCCACAUCUAAUAAAAUAUACAUUUAUAUAUGUCAUGAUUGCUGCUGUUGUGAUUGUUGUAAGUUAUACCGACUAUAUCGACUUGUAUAUAAUAACCGGAAUGAUUUUAUAAUAAUCUUGCCAUUUUUAUGUUUAACAAGUAUACAAAUGUAGUACUGAAAGAUAUAUAGGUACCUUAUUAUGAUAUUAUGAUAUGAUUGUGUUUUAAAUGUUUGACUUUUCAGUAUUCUUUGUGGAUCAGAAUAUGGAGCUUUGUCCGUAUACGUACAGUGUGUAUUCCAUGUACCUGUAAUGCUCAUUUAUAUAAAAUGUUGUUAAAAAGGAUAUUUGUGAAUAUCAUAAAUCAAGCAUUUUUAUCAUCAACCAGUUUGCCUCAUAAAAUCAUGACGGUGGACAUACUCCGAAGGAUAAGUUUGACUCAUCAAAUCAUGACGGUUGACAUACGCCGGAGAUUGAGUUUGACUCAUAAAAUCAUGACGGUUGACAUACUCCGGAGAUUAAGUUUGACUCAUCAAAUCAUGACGGUGGACAUACUCCGGAGAAUAAGUUUGACUCAUCAAAUCAUGACGGUUGACAUACGCCGGAGAAUAAGUUUGCCUCAUAAAAUCAUGACGGUGGACAUACACCGGAGAAUAAGUUUGCCUCAUUGAAUUAUGACGGUUGAUAUACUCUGAAGGAUAAGUUCGCCAUAUGCGAAAAUGGGCUGUCAUAAUUGACGCAUCGACCAGAUUGAUAAGAUAAGAUUUAAAUCACAUAUUUUUUCUAUUACUUUGUCAUUAAACGUAUACGUUAAAUCAAA